GAUGAACGCUGGCGGCGUGCCUAAUACAUGCAAGUCGAGCGAACGGACGAGAAGCUUGCUUCUCUGAUGUUAGCGGCGGACGGGUGAGUAACACGUGGAUAACCUACCUAUAAGACUGGGAUAACUUCGGGAAACCGGAGCUAAUACCGGAUAAUAUUUUGAACCGCAUGGUUCAAAAGUGAAAGACGGUCUUGCUGUCACUUAUAGAUGGAUCCGCGCUGCAUUAGCUAGUUGGUAAGGUAACGGCUUACCAAGGCAACGAUGCAUAGCCGGCCUGAGAGAGUGAUAGGCCACACGGGAACUGAGACACGGUCAAGACUCCUAAGGGAGGCAGCAGUAGGGAAUCGUACGCAAUGGGAGAAAGCCUGACGGAGCAACGCCGCGUGAGUGAUGAAGGUCUUCGGAUCGUAAAACUCUGUUAUUAGGGAAGAACAGAUGUGGAAGUAACUGUGCACAUCUUGACGGUACCUAAUCAGAAAGCCACGGCUAACUACGUG
rnacentral:rRNA from 1 species